UUCCGGUUGAUCCUGCCAGACCUGACUGCUAUCGGAUUGAUACUAAGCCAUGCGAGUCAUUGUAGCAAUACAAGGCAGACGGCUCAGUAACGCGUAGUCAACCUACCCUAUGGACGGGAAUAACCUCGGGAAACUGAGAAUAAUGCCCGAUAGAACAUUAUGCCUGGAAUGGUUUAUGUUCCAAAUGAUUUAUCGCCGUAGGAUGGGACUGCGGCCUAUCAGUUUGUUGGUGAGGUAAUGGCCCACCAAGACUAUUACAGGUACGGGCUCUGAGAGGAGUGGCCCGGAGAUGGGUACUGAGACACGGACCCAGGCCCUAUGGGGCGCAGCAGGCGAGAAAACUUUGCAAUGUGCGAAAGCACGACAAGGUUAAUCCGAGUGGUUUCUGCUAAAGGAACCUUUUGACAGUCCUAGAAACACUGUUGAAUAAGGGGUGGGCAAGUUCUGGUGUCAGCCGCCGCGGUAAAACCAGCACCUCAAGUGGUCAGGAUGAUUAUUGGGCCUAAAGCAUCCGUAGCCGGCUCUGUAAGUUUUCGGUUAAAUCUAUACGCUCAACGUAUAGGCUGCCGGGAAUACUGCAGAGCUAGGGAGUGGGAGAGGUAGACGGUACUCGGUAGGAAGGGGUAAAAUCCUUUGAUCUAUUGAUGACCACCUGUGGCGAAGGCGGUCUACCAGAACACGUCCGACGGUGAGGGAUGAAAGCUGGGGGAGCAAACCGGAUUAGAUACCCGGGUAGUCCCAGCUGUAAACUAUGCAAACUCAGUGAUGCAUUGGCUUGUGGCCAAUGCAGUGCUGCAGGGAAGCCGUUAAGUUUGCCGCCUGGGAAGUACGUACGCAAGUAUGAAACUUAAAGGAAUUGGCGGGGGAGCACCACAAGGGGUGAAGCCUGCGGUUCAAUUGGAGUCAACGCCGGA
rnacentral:rRNA from 2 species